ACUAAGAACUUUUUAGUGCAAUACAGAAAGCAGCAAGGUGACGAUGAUGAAAGGUAUUAGCUUUCAGAGCUGUAGGAUGCUUCGCCUGCUGACAAAUUCUCUCUCUGAUGACGCUUCAUCUCCUCAUAUGCCCAUUCAAGACCGGUGCAGUAAUGGAGUGGCGGGUUAAAUCUGCUAUCAUUCAUAUCAUCUGGCAAGAAUGCACCGUUCUCUAUUAGAAAUUUGACUGCUUCUUUCUUCCUUUCCUUUGCAGCACGGUGAAGUGGUGUCCCUGUGAAAUGUGAUAAAAUAUGUAUCAGCUACCACAGUUACAGAAUAUAAAUUGAGAAGAGAAACAAAGGAGGGCAGAGAGGGAGUUAGGUGCUUGAAAACUCUCUUCCAUGAGUUGAAGAUACUUACAACCACAGGCACCCAGGGUUCUAGCAUCAAUAUUAGCACCACGAGCAAGCAAUUCAUCCAUAAUCUCAAGGUGACCACCCUGAGCAGCAAGGUGGAGCGCGGUCAGGCCUUUUGAUUUUGGGCCCCAUGCAGGCACAUUAACAUCCAUUCCUUCAUCGAGUAAAUGUUUCACCUGUUAAAAAAAAUCUUCAAUCAACAAACAAUACUCAUUACCCACAGUCUAAUUCUUUGCACAGCUUCCUUCAGUACAAAAGAGCGCCUCUUGAUAUUUACACAGAAGCUUGCGUAAGUGAAAAUAUACACAAACACAAUGAUGCAAAGCAAAUAAAGUUAAAAUGAGAGGAUAAUAUAACAUAAACAAAAUAAAAAACUGGCUCUCGAGGAACCCCAUUCUUCUAUCUAAUUUUCCACCCCUAGAAUGGAAGAGAUAGAACAGAUUAUUGUACCAACAACUACAGGAAAGCAUGUGUAUGUAGCAGAUUGUGGAAGAUCUAAUGUAGGCAUAGGCAUAAAGGGAGAGUGGGGACUUUUUUUUCUCAAAUUACUUCAAAUGAAAAGGAGACUUCUAUGGCGAAAGAUCUCAUCUUGGUGUUUAGGGUGCCAGCUAAUUAAAGUUGUUCAAUGCCAAAAUAGCUACCAAUAAUCAGACCAGAACCUUCCAAUAAUUGUUCAAAAUAACUAGCGGGGAUUAACUAACUAAUUCAAGAAUCCAAACACUUUAUCCUCAUUGAGCCACGAAUUUUUGAUCUCCAAUCCACUAAAAUAAAGUCAGUAACUAAAGACAAGGUUACAACUUUGAAAGAAAGAAAGAACACUAUUUUGCAGCUUAUAAAGAAAUUCCCGUCAUAUUGCCCUGGCAAACAACAACUCGUAAAAAGACUCAAGUAAAUCAUUGGGCAUCCAUUAACAUAAACAAUAUAUAAACUAUACAACUCCUCAUCAAUAUAAAGUAUAAACACCAGAGUCGCAACAAGUAGCAAACUUAACAAGCUCCAGAGCAAAACAAAAAAGAGUGAGAGAAAAUAAAUAAAGCCAAAAAAAGAAAGGAAGAUACAAUAAUUACCUGUUUGAGAUCACCUUUUCUAGCACCAAUAUGAAGCGAAGUCCAACCUCUAUCAUCUCUGUCAACACCCCCAACUGACCUAAACGACCGUCUUCUCGACAAGUUACGCCUCAACGAAACAGCAACACAAUCUUCCUGUGGCAUAAUUUUUAAUUUCAACAAAAAUACGCACACGCACACAGAGAGACCAAAAUCAAACACAAUCCGACAAUUAGCGUGCGCCUGUUCUUUUUCAAUCAAGUCCUCAAUAAGAUCCAAUUAGCUUUUUUUUAAUAAAAAAAACAGCAAGAAAGCUCAGCAAGAAAAAAGGCAAACGACAGAUUUACAUGUUCAGUUUUCAAAGAAAAGACAAUCGAUUUAGCGAGAAGUUGAGUAAUGAUCAACACAAUAAGGAGAGAAAGGAUUGAGGCCGGGACCGAAAACACGAAGAUUUUCACAGAUAAGAAAGGCGAGAGGUGAAGAGAUUAUAAUCAUAGUAAGAAUAUGGAUUUUUGUGAACCCUAAUUGGUAUUUAAGAGGCGAUUAAUUUUUCAAUGAAUCCG
rnacentral:lncRNA from 1 species